CCCUUAGAUGUUCGGGGCCGCACGCGCGCUACACUGACGGAGCCAACGAGUAUUUUCCUUGUCCGGAAGGACUGGGUAAUCUUGUGAAACUUUGUCGUGCUGGGGAUAGAGCAUUGUAAUUAUUGCUCUUCAACGAGGAAUUCCUAGUAAGCGUGAGUCAUCUGCUCGCGUUGAUUACGUCCCUGCCCUUUGUACACACCGCCCGUCGCUACUACCGAUUGAAUGGCUUAGUGAGCCUUUGGGAUUGGCAGCCAACACCGGCAACGGUAGCUGGCCGCCGAAAACUUAUGCAAACUUGGUCAUUUAGAGGAAGUAAAAGGCGUAACA
rnacentral:rRNA from 1 species